rnacentral:rRNA from 1 species
GUGUCAGCCGCCGCGGUAAUACGUAGGGUGCAAGCGUUAAUCGGAAUUACUGGGCGUAAAGCGUGCGCAGGCGGUUUUGUAAGACAGUCGUGAAAUCCCCGGGCUCAACCUGGGAAUUGCGAUUGUGACUGCAAAGCUGGAGUGCGGCAGAGGGGGAUGGAAUUCCGCGUGUAGCAGUGAAAUGCGUAGAUAUGCGGAGGAACACCGAUGGCGAAGGCAAUCCCCUGGGCCUGCACUGACGCUCAUGCACGAAAGCGUGGGGAGCAAACAGGAUUAGAAACCCCGGUAGUCC